AGCAGCCGCGGUAAUUCCAGCUCCAAUGGCGUAUAUUAAAGUUGUUGCAGUUAAAAAGCUCGUAGUUGAAUUUCGGGAUCAAUAUGUUGGUCGUGCCUCGGUACGUACUAGCAUAUUGGUUUCUCCCUUCUGAAGAACCAUGAUGUCAUUCAUUUGGUGUCGUGGGGAAUCAGGACUGUUACUUUGAAAAAUUAGAGUGUUUAAAGCAGGCUCGCGCUUGAAUACAUUAGCAUGGAAUAAUGAAAUAGGACGUUUGAUUCUAUUUUGUUGGUUUCUAGGAUCGACGUAAUGAUUAAUAGGGAUAGUUGGGGGCAUUAGUAUUCAAUUGUCAGAGGUGAAAUUCUUGGAUUUAUUGAAGACUUAACUACUGCGAAAGCAUUUGCCAAGGAUGUUUUCAUUAAUCAAGAACGAAAGUUAGGGGAUCGAAGACGAUCAGAUACCGUCGUAGUCUUAACCAUAAACUAUGCCGACUAGGGAUCGGAUGAUGUUAAUUUUAAUGA
rnacentral:misc_RNA from 1 species